rnacentral:rRNA from 1 species
GGUUAAGCGACUAAGCGUACACGGUGGAUGCCCUGGCAGUCAGAGGCGAUGAAGGACGUGCUAAUCUGCGAUAAGUGUCGGUAAGGUGAUAUGAACCGUUAUAACCGGCGAUUUCCGAAUGGGGAAACCCAGUGUGUUUCGACACACUAUCAUUAACUGAAUCCAUAGGUUAAUGAGGCGAACCGGGGGAACUGAAACAUCUAAGUACCCCGAGGAAAAGAAAUCAACCGAGAUUCCCCCAGUAGCGGCGAGCGAACGGGGAGGAGCCCAGAGCCUGAAUCAGUGUGUGUGUUAGUGGAAGCGUCUGGAAAGGCGCGCGAUACAGGGUGACAGCCCCGUACACAAAAAUGCACAUGCUGUGAGCUCGAUGAGUAGGGCGGGACACGUGGUAUCCUGUCUGAAUAUGGGGGGACCAUCCUCCAAGGCUAAAUACUCCUGACUGACCGAUAGUGAACCAGUACCGUGAGGGAAAGGCGAAAAGAACCCCGGCGAGGGGAGUGAAAAAGAACCUGAAACCGUGUACGUACAAGCAGUGGGAGCACGCUUCGGCGUGUGACUGCGUACCUUUUGUAUAAUGGGUCAGCGACUUAUAUUCUGUAGCAAGGUUAACCGAAUAGGGGAGCCGAAGGGAAACCGAGUCUUAACUGGGCGUUAAGUUGCAGGGUAUAGACCCGAAACCCGGUGAUCUAGCCAUGGGCAGGUUGAAGGUUGGGUAACACUAACUGGAGGACCGAACCGACUAAUGUUGAAAAAUUAGCGGAUGACUUGUGGCUGGGGGUGAAAGGCCAAUCAAACCGGGAGAUAGCUGGUUCUCCCCGAAAGCUAUUUAGGUAGCGCCUCGUGAAUUCAUCUCCGGGGGUAGAGCACUGUUUCGGCAAGGGGGUCAUCCCGACUUACCAACCCGAUGCAAACUGCGAAUACCGGAGAAUGUUAUCACGGGAGACACACGGCGGGUGCUAACGUCCGUCGUGAAGAGGGAAACAACCCAGACCGCCAGCUAAGGUCCCAAAGUCAUGGUUAAGUGGGAAACGAUGUGGGAAGGCCCAGACAGCCAGGAUGUUGGCUUAGAAGCAGCCAUCAUUUAAAGAAAGCGUAAUAGCUCACUGGUCGAGUCGGCCUGCGCGGAAGAUGUAACGGGGCUAAACCAUGCACCGAAGCUGCGGCAGCGACACUAUGUGUUGUUGGGUAGGGGAGCGUUCUGUAAGCCUGUGAAGGUGUGCUGUGAGGCAUGCUGGAGGUAUCAGAAGUGCGAAUGCUGACAUAAGUAACGAUAAAGCGGGUGAAAAGCCCGCUCGCCGGAAGACCAAGGGUUCCUGUCCAACGUUAAUCGGGGCAGGGUGAGUCGACCCCUAAGGCGAGGCCGAAAGGCGUAGUCGAUGGGAAACAGGUUAAUAUUCCUGUACUUGGUGUUACUGCGAAGGGGGGACGGAGAAGGCUAUGUUGGCCGGGCGACGGUUGUCCCGGUUUAAGCGUGUAGGCUGGUUUUCCAGGCAAAUCCGGAAAAUCAAGGCUGAGGCGUGAUGACGAGGCACUACGGUGCUGAAGCAACAAAUGCCCUGCUUCCAGGAAAAGCCUCUAAGCAUCAGGUAACAUCAAAUCGUACCCCAAACCGACACAGGUGGUCAGGUAGAGAAUACCAAGGCGCUUGAGAGAACUCGGGUGAAGGAACUAGGCAAAAUGGUGCCGUAACUUCGGGAGAAGGCACGCUGAUAUGUAGGUGAAGUCCCUCGCGGAUGGAGCUGAAAUCAGUCGAAGAUACCAGCUGGCUGCAACUGUUUAUUAAAAACACAGCACUGUGCAAACACGAAAGUGGACGUAUACGGUGUGACGCCUGCCCGGUGCCGGAAGGUUAAUUGAUGGGGUUAGCCGCAAGGCGAAGCUCUUGAUCGAAGCCCCGGUAAACGGCGGCCGUAACUAUAACGGUCCUAAGGUAGCGAAAUUCCUUGUCGGGUAAGUUCCGACCUGCACGAAUGGCGUAAUGAUGGCCAGGCUGUCUCCACCCGAGACUCAGUGAAAUUGAACUCGCUGUGAAGAUGCAGUGUACCCGCGGCAAGACGGAAAGACCCCGUGAACCUUUACUAUAGCUUGACACUGAACAUUGAGCCUUGAUGUGUAGGAUAGGUGGGAGGCUUUGAAGUGUGGACGCCAGUCUGCAUGGAGCCGACCUUGAAAUACCACCCUUUAAUGUUUGAUGUUCUAACGUUGACCCGUAAUCCGGGUUGCGGACAGUGUCUGGUGGGUAGUUUGACUGGGGCGGUCUCCUCCUAAAGAGUAACGGAGGAGCACGAAGGUUGGCUAAUCCUGGUCGGACAUCAGGAGGUUAGUGCAAUGGCAUAAGCCAGCUUGACUGCGAGCGUGACGGCGCGAGCAGGUGCGAAAGCAGGUCAUAGUGAUCCGGUGGUUCUGAAUGGAAGGGCCAUCGCUCAACGGAUAAAAGGUACUCCGGGGAUAACAGGCUGAUACCGCCCAAGAGUUCAUAUCGACGGCGGUGUUUGGCACCUCGAUGUCGGCUCAUCACAUCCUGGGGCUGAAGUAGGUCCCAAGGGUAUGGCUGUUCGCCAUUUAAAGUGGUACGCGAGCUGGGUUUAGAACGUCGUGAGACAGUUCGGUCCCUAUCUGCCGUGGGCGCUGGAGAACUGAGGGGGGCUGCUCCUAGUACGAGAGGACCGGAGUGGACGCAUCACUGGUGUUCGGGUUGUCAUGCCAAUGGCACUGCCCGGUAGCUAAAUGCGGAAGAGAUAAGUGCUGAAAGCAUCUAAGCACGAAACUUGCCCCGAGAUGAGUUCUCCCUGACUCCUUGAGAGUCCUGAAGGAACGUUGAAGACGACGACGUUGAUAGGCCGGGUGUGUAAGCGCAGCGAUGCGUUGAGCUAACCGGUACUAAUGAACCGUGAGGCUUAACCUU